rnacentral:RNase_P_RNA from 1 species
UGAGUCGGCCGGGUGGUCGCGGCAUUGCGGUUCAUUUUCUGGACUUUAAUGUCGAGGAAGGUCGGGACUCCGUAGGGCAACGGUGCUGGCUAACGGCCAGUCGGGGCAACCCGCAGGAAAGUGCCACAGAAAACAGACCGCCGAUGGCCUAGCACACGCAGGGCACAGGUAAGGGUGAAACGGUGCGGUAAGAGCGCACCAGAGAUCGGGGCAACCUGGUCUGCUAGGUAAACCCCACCGGGAGCAAGGCCAAGCAGGGGAUAUGGCGGCCCGCCGCUUCACCAGAAGCAAUCCCCGGGUAGGCCGCUUAGAUGGAUGACCACCCAAGGGCCCACAAGGGCUUGGACAGAAUCCCGCCUACAGGCCGACUCACCGC